AGAGUUUGAUCCUGGCUCAGAACGAACGCUGGCGGCGUGGUUUAGGCAUGCAAGUCGAGCGCGAAAGUUCCUUCGGGGACAAGUAGAGCGGCGAAAGGGUGAGUAAUGCUUGGGCAACUUACCUCUUGGACUGGGAUAGCUUCUGGAAACGGAGGGUAAUACCGGAUGGUCCCAUCUGGGCUGCGGCCCGGCUGAGUAAAGGUGGGGGUCUUCGGACCUCGCGCCAAGAGAGAGGCUCGAGUCCUACCAGCUUGUUGGUGAGGUAAUGGCUCACCAAGGCGAAGACGGGUAGCCGGACUGAGAGGUUGGCCGGCCACACUGGCACUGAGACACUGGCCAGACUCCUACGGGAGGCUGCAGUCGAGAAUCUUCCGCAAUGGGCGAAAGCCUGACGGAGCGACGCCGCGUGGAGGAAGAAGGCCUUCGGGUUGUAAACUCCUGUCAGAGUUUAUGAAUGCAGGCGGGCUAAUAUCCCGUCCUGUUGACAAAGGACUCAAAGGAAGCCACAGCUAACUUCGUGCCAGCAGCUGCGGUAAUACGAAGGUGGCGAGCGUUGUUCGGAUUCACUGGGCAUAAAGGGCACGUAGGCUGCUCUGUAAGCGGUGUGUGAAAGCCCGGGGCUCAACCCCGGAACUGCAUACCGAACUGCAGGGCUAGAGGACGAGAGGGGAGUAUGGAACUCUAGGUGGAGCGGUGAAA
rnacentral:rRNA from 1 species